UACGUAGGGGGCAAGCGUUGUCCGGAUUUAUUGGGCGUAAAGAGCGUGUAGGCGGCUUGGUAGGUCCGCUGUGAAAACUCGAGGCUCAACCUCGAGAUGUCGGCGGAAACCACUUGGCUAGAGUCCGGAAGAGGAGAGUGGAAUUCCUGGUGUAGCGGUGAAAUGCGCAGAUAUCAGGAAGAACACCAAUGGCGAAGGCAGCUCUCUGGGACGGUACUGACACUGAGACGCGAAAGCGUGGGGAGCGAACAGG
rnacentral:rRNA from 1 species